GCCUAUGCCCAUACCCUGAAAACACACAAUCUUGGGUGAUGNCAGAAGAUAAGGAGGGUUGGGUCUCCUUAGUACUUGGAUGGGAGACUGCCUGGGGAUAUCAGAUGCUGUAGGUU
rnacentral:rRNA from 1 species